rnacentral:misc_RNA from 1 species
AAAGGGAUUAAAGGGUCUUACAAGCAGAUUACAAUCAGUGACAAUGAAGAGCAAACUUAAUUUUACAAAAAGGGGGGCAAAACCUGGCAAUGUAGGAGGGAAAACAUUCAAUUUAUUCAUAUCUCAACAGAGGCAACAAGAUUUUUAGAUGCUUUUGAGGGAAAUCUUAACCGCGGUGGAGAAAAAAAGAGAGUACCGAAAACAAAGUUCCCACAAGGGUGAGAAGAAGAACCGACAUUCCAACAAGUAGCAUUGGACUUAACCGAGGAUUACUUCUACCCUUUCUGGACUUCAAUUUCUUAGGCCAACUCUUGCCCUUAUACCCAUUCACUUGUUCACAGAGCCCAUCAUAAUAGAAUUCCUUCACUUCCACCCCUUUGCACAGCUCUUCAAACAGUUCAACCAUCUUUUCCUCUGUGCCAUCGUAGUUGAUCAGAAUCUGUCGUCGUUGCAGCAAUUUCACAUCUUUUUCCUCUCUGAUUAGGUUUUUCAUGAAAAUUGCAUAAGAAGUGAUGUACUGUAUAUUGUCGCUGGAAAAAUGCUCGAGCACGAUGAGAUUCCUGAAGAGGCUUUUUGUAUAUUUGUCGACUUCAAGAAGUGGGAUUUCCAGGAUUCCGUUUGCAAACUUUAUGUUCAGCAAGUUAUAUGUUCUUGCCAUCUUGAUCCUAAUUCCUGAACCCUGGAGCUCUGUUGCAGAAGGUUGAUGCUUAUGCUCGGAGUUGGCUUGCUGCUGUUCUGCUUUCCGUACUCUUGGACAUGUUGGUUGGAGACAGUGGCAGAUUAUGUCAAGCAAAUGGUGCGCUUCUUGGCUGAAUUUUUCUUGAUUAAUUUUUUGAUCACCAGGAAUCAUGUCUUUGAAGAAACGGAAAGCAAGCUCAGCGAAAGAGUAAGUACAUUGCUUAGGAAUUGGCACCACCUGAUAUAAUCGCUGAAGAAUGAACAAAGGAAUCUGAUUUUCUAGCAAUAUCAGGUCAUACCUCAGAAUAUUGAGCAUUCCUGGCGUGCUAAAUAUAGGAUCAUAUCUGCGUCUUAAACUCUUUACAGAAAACUUAAGAAAGAGUUCGAUGAUGAAACAGCCAUCAAUCAACAUCAUUUUUAGGAAUUUGUCGGAUGACCAAUCAAUGUCACCACCAUCUUCAUAGCACGCCCGUGCUCUGUGUUCCACCUCUCUAAGUGCAGCCACACAAUCAUUUAGGCUUGCUUCUAGGUUCGGUUUUCGAUUGAGGAGCGCAUGUGCGUAGCGCCAUUUCUGAUCUUCCAUGAGUUUUAAACGUUCACCAUGGUGGUAAGGACCAAUUGAGAUUUUUUGAGGAUCAUACACGUUAUCAUUUGUCCCACGAAGACUCCCCUUCACUUUGCAGAUACAAUGAGAGUAUGAAAUAUUUUCUAUCUCUUUUACGAUGGAAGCCACCAGUUCCUCGUCAGGUUGUCUGAUGUCAACUGAUAUAUGGUCUCCGGUUUGAACCUGUUCUAUUUUCGAGCCAGUGUUGUCCAUAGCCAAAUGAAUUCAAAACAACCUGCAAAAAGCACAAAGUGCAAAAAUCCCUGGCAUUCACUUGAAUAAUGUUGAACUUUAG